AGUGAACGCUGGCGGUAGGCCUAACACAUGCCAGUCGAACGGCAGCACAGUAAGAGCUUGCUCUUACGGGUGGCGAGUGGCGGACGGGUGAGGAAUACAUCGGAAUCUACUUUUUCGUGGGGGAUAACGUAGGGAAACUUACGCUAAUACCGCAUACGACCUACGGGUGAAAGCAGGGGAUCUUCGGACCUUGCGCGAUUGAAUGAGCCGAUGUCGGAUUAGCUAGUUGGCGGGGUAAAGGCCCACCAAGGCGACGAUCCGUAGCUGGUCUGAGAGGAUGAUCAGCCACACUGGGAGUGAGACACGGUCCAGACUCCUACGGGAGGCGGAAGUGGGGAAUAUUGGACAAUGGGCGCAAGCCUGAUCCAGCCAUACCGCGUGGGUGAAGAAGGCCUUCGGGUUGUAAAGCCCUUUUGUUGGGAAAGAAAAGCAGCAGGUUAAUACCCCGCUGUUCUGACGGUACCCAAAGAAUAAGCACCGGCUAACUUCGUG
rnacentral:rRNA from 1 species